UCUCCGUUGGUGAACCAGCGGAGGGAUCAUCACCGAGUUAUCAACUCCCAAACCCCUGUGAACAUACCCAACGUUGCUUCGGCGGGACCGCCCCGGCGCCCUCGGCGUCCCGGAACCAGGCGCCCGCCGGAGGACCCAAACUCUUGUUUAAACCAUAGUGGCAUAUUCUGAGUCUCACAAGAAAAAUGAAUCAAAACUUUCAACAACGGAUCUCUUGGCUCUG
rnacentral:misc_RNA from 1 species